AACCCUCGCUGUGUGUUAUAUGUGUCACACGGGACUGCCGGUUUAAGCCGGAGGAAGGUGGGGAGUGACGUCAAGUCAGCAUGGCCUUUACUAUCCUGGGCUACACACACGCUACAAUGGUCGGUACAAUAGGUUGCCAAGCCGCGAGGCGGAGCCAAUCCACAAAGCCGGCCUCAGUUCAGAUUGUAGGCUGCAACUCGCCUGCAUGAAGAUGGAGUUGCUAGUAACCGCAGGUCAGCAAUACUGCGGUGAAUACGUUCCCGGGUCUU
rnacentral:rRNA from 1 species